rnacentral:rRNA from 1 species
CAGCAGCCGCGGUAAUACGAAGGGUGCAAGCGUUAAUCGGAAUUACUGGGCGUAAAGCGUGCGUAGGCGGUGAGUUAAGUCUGCUGUGAAAUCCCCGGGCUCAACCUGGGAAUGGCAGUGGAUACUGGCUAGCUAGAGUGUGUCAGAGGAUGGUGGAAUUCCCGGUGUAGCGGUGAAAUGCGUAGAGAUCGGGAGGAACAUCAGUGGCGAAGGCGACUAUCUGGGCCAACACUGACACUGAGGCACGAAAGCGUGGGGAGCAAACAGGAUUAGAUACCCGCGUAGUCCCUGUCUCUUAUAC